rnacentral:hammerhead_ribozyme from 1 species
GCACUGCUGAGGAGUCUCAUACUGGGACGAAACAGCCGUCCAGUAC